rnacentral:rRNA from 1 species
UACGUAGGUGGCAAGCGUUGUCCGGAAUUAUUGGGCGUAAAGCGCGCGCAGGCGGUCUCUUAAGUCUGAUGUGAAAUCUCGCGGCUCAACCGUGAGCGGUCAUUGGAAACUGGGGAGACUUGAGUGCAGAAGAGAAGAGCGGAAUUCCACGUGUAGCGGUGAAAUGCGUAGAGAUGUGGGGGAACACCAGUGGCGAAGGCGGCUCUUUGGUCUGUAACUGACGCUGAGGCGCGAAAGCGUGGGGAGCGAACAGG